UACGAGGGGGCGAGCGUUGUUCGGAAUUAUUGGGCGUAAAGGGCGCGUAGGCGGUGCGGUAAGUCACCUGUGAAACCUCUAGGCUUAACCUAGAGCCUGCAGGCGAAACUGCCGUGCUGGAGUGUGGGAGAGGUGCGUGGAAUUCCCGGUGUAGCGGUGAAAUGCGUAGAUAUCGUAAGGAAGACCAGUGGCGAAGGCGGGUCUCUGGACAGUUCCUGACGCUGAGGCACGAAGGUCAGGGGAGCAAACGGG
rnacentral:rRNA from 1 species